rnacentral:rRNA from 1 species
AUGAAUAUUGCCCUUCUCUCCCGCUGGCUCUGGCGCAUCGCCCAGGGUCAAGGAGGCCUCUGGCUCGACAUUAUCCGAAAUAAAUACCUGCGGGGCCAGCCACUUGCCUUCUGCCAGAAAUCGGGCGGCUCUCAGUUCUGGCAGUCUAUUGUUCAGCUUCUCCCGGUGCUUCGCAUUGGGACCUCCAUCUCGAUGGGGUCCGGCCUCUCGACGCUCUUCUGGUUUGAUCGUUGGGCCAGAGACUCCCCCUUUGCGGCCCGCUUCCCCGCCCUCUUCUCUAUCUCCGUCGACCCCAUGAUUUCGGUCAAUAGGGCCCUUCUUGACUUAGGGCGCCUUGCUUUCCGUCGGCCUUUUGGGCCGGCGGAAUCCGCCGCCUGGCGUGAGUUGCUUCAUUGCGUUGCGUUGCAUGAGCCGUUGGUGGAUGGCAGACCGGACCUAGUGCGAUGGCGGCUGGAGCCGUCGGGCUUGUUCUCCACCAAGUCGCUUUACCCGGCCAUUGCCCCAUCCUCCGCUCCCCUCCCCUUAUCGAUGGUGUGGUCUGUCCACGUUCCCCUGAAGAUCCGCAUUUUCAUGUGGCAGUGGAUUCGCGGCCGGAUCCCAUCUGGAGUGGAGGUCCGCAAGCGCAAUGGCCCGGGCACCAGUAUCUGCCCGCUCUGUGGAGUCCCUGAAGACUCGAACCAUAUCUUCUUCUCCUGCAUCUCCUCCCAAUUCCUCUGGAGCUGCUUUCGCGAGGUGGUCGAUGGUAGUUGGUGCCACACCAACUUCCCGGAACUAUUUGCUGAACUCCAGUUGUCCCCCGCGUCCUCUCGCCACAUUAGGUGGCUUGAGGUUGGGGUUCUCGCCUGGACUCUUUGGACCGUUCGCAAUAAGCUUGUGAUCCAGCACGCUCCCCUUCGUCGCGCUACUGACGCUCUCUACAAAUUAUCGGGUUUCUUGCAGCUUUGGCGGCCGCUUAGCCGCCCCCCCCGGACCAUGACGCCAUCUCCGCCUUCAUCGCCGACAUCCUUUCGAUGGUCGUCCGCCUGUCACCGCCGCCCCCGCCGCCUCCGCCAGAUCCUGAUUAGGCGCCUUGUGUUUGAUGUGCGGAUGUUGUUUUUUCCUUCCUUUUGGGCUUGUUGA